GAUGAACGCUGGCGGCGUGCUUAACACAUGCAAGUCGAACGGUGAAGCCAAGCUUGCUUGGUGGAUCAGUGGCGAACGGGUGAGUAACACGUGAGCAACCUGCCCUGGACUCUGGGAUAAGCGCUGGAAACGGCGUCUAAUACUGGAUAUGAGACGUGAUCGCAUGGUCGUGUUUGGAAAGAUUUUUCGGUCUGGGAUGGGCUCGCGGCCUAUCAGCUUGUUGGUGAGGUAAUGGCUCACCAAGGCGUCGACGGGUAGCCGGCAUGAGAGGGGGACCGGCAACACUGGGACUGAGACACGGCCCAGACUCCUACGGGAGGCAGCAGCGGGGAAUAUUGCACAAUGGGCGAAAGCCUGAUGCAGCAACGCCGCGUGAGGUAUGACGGCCUUCGGGUUGUAAACCUCUUUUAGCAGGGAAGAAGCGAAAGUGACGGUACCUGCAGAAAAAGCGCCAGCUAACUACGUGCCAGCAGCCGCGGUAAAAC
rnacentral:rRNA from 1 species